AAUAAGAAACUUUUUUUUUUUUUUUAUUGCUUGUUUGUGAGCUUCACUCAUUCAAUCAUGUGCAAUUUGCUGGGGUAAUUGAGGUGGGGCGAAUAGGAAAGAGUUAAGCAAUUAAGAGUUCACGGGUCGCAGCUGUGUUCUGACACGCCGUCAUUAGUUUUCUGAUGAUCUGCUUUUUUCUGUUGCCUCCCUCAGGUUUUCUCAGGCCAGGAGAGAGUUUCAGAUUAGAACAUCUGGAGUUUCAUGUUGAAACGGCAUCAUUCUCCCACCGAGACCUGAGUGAAACCAUUAGGCCAAUGAAGACAGAAGAGCAAGUUUGACUGCGCUGACACACGCAGCGUUCCGGUCUGUUUCUGCACCAUUGUUUUCGCUGACAGAAUGAAAACACAAGGCCCAAACAGAUGCAGAAGAAUAAGCUCAUACAGACAUAACCUGCCCGGCCCGGAGGGCAGGAGACACACAGAGGGAGAGAGAAAGAGACACGGAUCAUUCCCUCGUCCACCCUUUAAACACCAGCUGGUGGACCUGAACCCCGGUGGAGGCCUCGAUCCCUUACAAAUGUUUGGAUUACAGGAAUGACCCGCUGAAGGAGUGUUUCACUGUUAAGUGGGACAUUAUUCUUGUGGGCUACUCUCGGGCAGAAAGCAAAUUCUAUACCUGUUUUGGCAUAAAGGUUUCAGUGUACAUGUACAGUAUGUGUCAACAAAGAGCUCCUUGUAUUCGAAGUGAACUCGCACACAUUUUCAAGUAAAGAAAAGAUGAAAAGGGGGGAAAAAGACCAACAUCGCCUAGAUGGAGUCAGUCAAUGGAGCCGUCAAGUUAUCAGUUAACUCCAGUGGCAUGUAGUCAGUGGAGCAGAGCAGGAGAGAAAGAAGCGGAGGAGAGGGGAAGAAAGGACAGGAGGGGAGGGCUGAAACAGGACACUGGUUUAGGGUGCGACGGCUGAGUUGAGCUCUUAUCAGCACUUCUCUCUCAAUUACACCGCUAACGCUACUCUCUCACUCUCUUUAUUUCAAUCUCCACUUAUCUGUGUUGCUUUCUUACCUAGUGCCUUUGCAAAAGGGCAAAUUACGUGAAAGACGAGACAGCAUUUGAACAGAUCCCAAACUGUGAGCUCAAUGAGGGGGUUUGUGUGUGUGAGAGGGAGAGAGUAUUGAAAUUUUGUAAAUCUAUUUUAUAAAUUUACCUCUGACAAUCUUAAUGAAUAACUUCCAAAAUAGCAGAAGCUUUGUUUUCAAAACUGUUUAAAAAAAAAAAAAAACUCUGCCUGCAACCAUAUA